CAAUGCUUCCGCAGUCGGUCUGCGUGGGUACGUAGAUCACACUCUCCCCCUUGUUGGUAUGCAUCACCAUGAUCUUGCGUGUGCGUAGAAAAAUUUAGAAAUUACUACGUUCCCCAACAGCUGGACCCACCAGUCAGCCCGUGCUUGACUGAAAUGCAUCGCCGUCCACCAGUUGCAUCCUCUGUUUUGGGAAAAAAAGGGAUCGAGACCAAGGGAAAAAAUAGAGUCUGGGUGGGCGGCGGCGGCGGUGAAGCUCUCCGAUUUUUCUGGAUUUCCCCGUCUCGCCGGUUGACAAGCUGCCAAUCUUCACCAACGAGGCGGCAAGCGCUGCGGCCCUAAUGGAGUUGAUUGGUGCCUCGGGGCGCGGAGACGAUGUAUCGGCCCAUGGAUCUAGGGGGGCUGUGGGCGGUGGAUUUGGUCAAGGGUCAUAUACUCAUAUGGGCAGAUGUUGAAUGGUGCGGCGUGCAGCGAGGAGAGAACUGUAGCUGGUGGUGGUGCCGCCAUGUCCGGGUUCAGCGAGAGCGAGGGUGACAAUGGAGAAGCUCUUGACGAGGCGGAGGGGGAAGCACACUUUGAUGGAGACCAAGAGGCUGUGAUUCAGGAUCAAACUGAUAGUGCUGAUGGAUGUUCUGCUCAAUCUACAGGCAAGGUGGAUCCGCAAGCACCUUGCUGGACAAAAAGAGUAAGAGUCGGCAAUCAACCGCCAGACAGGGCUCCAUGCCCGGAAAGGGUAGGCGCUGAUGCAGUUUCCUUGUAGUCCACGGGCAAGAUGGAUCCGCAAGCGCGAGGGUGGACUAAAAGGGUUAGAGAUGGGUAAGCAUCCACCGUACUGGACGGGGAGGAUCGGUGCACUGGAGCAAACAAUUGCGGGGGUAUGUGGAUAACUUGGGAGAGCAUGUUUGGGAGCGGAUCAUACACAGCGGGGAGUGUGCUGCCGCAGCCUGCUAUGCUAGAUGCAGGGGUGAACAUCCCAUGCAUACCAGCAUCUGGUUCACAGGUAGGAGGGCGGCCAGUGUGGCGGCAGAAAUCUGCGGCAGCCCUACGGUAAGUGAGAGUGAAGCCGACAAUGGAUACGUCGCCUCUGCCACUGGAGUUGGAGACGUGGUGGACGGCGACCAGCUAGCUGUGAUUCACGAGCGCGGCGAGAGUGAAGAUGCAGCAUCAGCACAAUCAACGGGAAAGAUGGAUCCGCGGGCACUUGGGUGGACGAGAGGUAUCAGUAAUCUAUAUCUGAUAGGCUGUAAAUACUCUAAAUGUGGAGGUUGUUGAUUAUGCCUGAAUGAGUGAAUAAUAGUGAAUGGUUGUGGUCGAAGCUGACA